CCUACGGGAGGCAGCAGUGAGGAAUAUUGGUCAAUGGGCGGAAGCCUGAACCAGCCAAGUCGCGUGAGGGAAUAAGGCCCUACGGGUCGUAAACCUCUUUUGCCGGGGAGCAAGGGCGGGGACGUGUCCCGGCCCGGAGAGUACCCGGAGAAAAAGCAUCGGCUAACUCCGUGCCAGCAGCCGCGGUAAUACGGAGGAUGCGAGCGUUAUCCGGAUUUAUUGGGUUUAAGGGGUGCGUAGGCGGGCUUUUAAGUCAGCGGUAAAAAUUCUGGGCUCAACUCCGGACGGGCCUCUAAUACUGUAUGACUAGAGAAUAGGUGCGGUAGGCGGAAUGUAUGGUGUAGCGGUGAAAUGCGUAGAGAUCAUACAGAACACCGAUUGCGAAGGCAGCUUACCAAACUAUAUCUGACGUUGAGGCACGAAAGCGUGGGGAGCAAACAGGAUUAGAUACCCCGGUAGUC
rnacentral:rRNA from 1 species